CGUUCGCCUCGACGCGGGCCGUGUACGUCUUCCCCUUGACGGGGCGGAAGCCGGUCAGAGCGAUCCGUGCGGUCGUGUCGCGCGCGAACGGC
rnacentral:tRNA from 1 species